UUUUUAAAGUAUACUAAAUUUAAACUUAUUUUAAAAUGUAUUUUAGGUAUACUUUAUCGGUAUGCUUAAAGUUAUCAUUAUAAUAAUGCACUGACAGUAUAUUUCUAAAAUACAUUAUUUAGUAUUCUUUAGAAACAGUAUAUUUUAAGCACAUUUUGAAAGUAUGGGGUGUACAAAUGUAUAUUAUUUUAUGGAGAAAUAACGUGGGCUUAAAAUUACGAGAGAGCAGUAUGUUCAGUUACAUUUUAUAUUGUAGAUGUAUACAUUUGUAAUAUACUAUUAACAUAAUAAGGUACACUUUAACUUCACUAUAGUCAAGCAUUGGAUAAACCAAUUAACUGUGUUUUACCACAAAAUAACCAUGGUUUUGCUAAUAAUAAUCAAUACACCAAAAAAACAUGGUUACUAAACUUUUACCACAAAAAAAAACAUUCAUUUUCGUAAGGGGAAUAUGAGUGUUUGUUUUUUUUUGUAGUUUUUGAGUCAAUUGCAUACUGCUUUUAGCUGUACACAUUGAUUAACUUAAACAGUUUUCGUAAAUGCAUUUCAGAGAAAAGUGAAUUCUGAGAUUUGAAUAAUGCAUCUGACGUGUGGGAUGACGUCACGACGCACGUAUUUUGAUUUUUACCAGUCGUUCAAGACGGACGGAUUCAGUCCCAAGAAGCUAAAGUUUUUCAAAGACAUUUGUAGGGAGGACUUUGCAGCUAAUGGAGCUGAAGUAUUUUAUGUAAGGAGGAUUUUGCAGCCCAUAUAGAUUUCCUUAGGCUGAACCAAAACCUGCCAGACUAAAGUUGAUUUGGGAGAGAAAGACGUUGAAAACUCAAUCAUCUUGACAUUCUUCAAUGAGUAAUUGUUCAAUUUUUAGGCAAAUACUGUACACUUUGAAUGCUGUGAAUAAAACUAUAUUUUAAAUAUAUUUAAAAUGAA